AAUGACUUCUGUCAUGUUUAUGGUUUGCAUUCACUUUUUUACAAUGUGCCUAUUUAUGGCUUUGGGAUAUUGUUUCUGAGGAGAGGUCACCUCUGUCACUGAGGUAAUAGGACAUUUGUAACCAACUGUACUGCUUAAAUUCUUGAAUUUGGUUCUAUAGACAACAUAUUUGCAGAAUAGUUAUUUAUGUUUUAAUCCAAACGGAUUACAGGAUUACAGUAACAACUCUGGUGGUCCUUACAUACCAACAGUCUUUAUAGUCCUAACUCAGAAGCCACUGAAGUGCACAUUAGACCUUAAGAUUAUAGAGGAAACUAGAGGCAGUUCCACAACUAAGACAAUGGGAGGUGUGAUGCCUGGUAAGCAUGACCCCUACUUCUUCACUAAAACUUGACAAAACUCACAUUAUUGGGUAUUUGCCUUAUUUUGGCCAUUUCUCCAGAAUUUUAACAUACUCUUGGAGCCUUAAGGAUCUUGUUAUGCAAUAUUGCUUUCCACAACUGCAGAAAGUAGAAAAUUCCUAGGUAAGUCCCAAGUAUGGAACAAGAACCCCUGUUUACUUAGAGAAUAUGGGUAAAGUAUGUAGGCUUUCAGAUAAGUUCUUCCUCUUGUGAGAGGAUUUGCAUCAGAAAAUUAGUGAUAAGGUCAUCUCUUGGUUUCACAAAAAUCUCAAGAUGCUAAAUGGCAAAGAUUUACUCAGUAAUGAUUCCAGUAUUUGCUCCCACACAAGUACUAAUAACCAUGACAGCUAAGGCAAGUUCAAGGUGAUGGGAUGAUUUUCCUAUACUGUGCUCAAUCCUUGGUUGUAAGGAGCCUUGUAACAAAAGUGGUGUCCCUUUCAUUGUCCCUACAAUGUAACAAGUUUCUGCAUUUUCUCAUUGGAGGGGAUAAUAUCUACACUACAGGCUCAUGAUGAUGCUGACCACAUCUCCUGGUACCUUCAACCAGGAUUUCUAGACCAACAGCAGUAUGAAUGAGGGAGACUAACAGAAUUACAGAAUUUGCUAAUAACAUUAUUUUACAUUAACAGUGGGAAAGAGUUAUCUCAAUAAUUUAAAAUGAUUUUGUAUUAUAUACAUGAUUGUUUAAAGACAUUAGUAAACCAAGUUUUUAUGUAGACUAUCCUUGCCAUAUGAUACUUAAAACUCUUAUAAAAUGUAAUUUAAAACCUCAAAGUUGGAAUGUGCCCGGUGUUUUUUGCUCACGUCACAGCAGUAAACAAGGCUAUAGAGUUUGGCUGUGAUUUAUUUUAGGGAGUUUGCAAAGAAGAAAGCUUUGAGACUUUAUUCAAAACAGUUUGGGUUUGGGUUUUUUUGUUUGGGUUUUGUUUUGUUUUUAAUUUUGGGGGGGGGUGGUUGUUUUGUUUUGUUUUGUUUUUGAGAAGAGGUUUUUCUGUGUAGCCCUGGCCUGGAGCUCCCUCUGUAGACCAGGCUGGCCUCAAACUCUCCAGGUCUGCCUGCCUCUGCCUCCUGAGUGCUGAGACUAAAGGUGUGUGUCACCAUGCCUGGCUAAGACAGUUUUAUUAAAUUAUUCAUCAGUUAGUGAAAUUAGUUCUCUAACAUAAUUAAGAAAUUAAAAUAUAGGAAAUAAGUCUUUUAAGGCAAAGGAAAUGUAGUAUUUGGGCCACUCAGGGGAUUGAAAUUGGAUUAGAUUUCCUAGGCGUGAUGGUUAUGUGCCUGUAAUCUCACCAUGUAUGAGGUGAGGGCAGGAACAGGAGUUGAAGGUCAUACGUGUUGAGCUGCAUAGGCUCUGAAGCUGAGUAGGGCUCUAUGAACCCUGUCUCUAAGGGGGUGGGGUCUUAGAUGAGAGAGAGGAGACUGUUGGAUUGGAUGAGUUUUGAGACUACAGAUCUGAUGACCUGGGCUUGAGCCAUCUUGCUGUUCCCUGAUGCAGUUCUUCUCCUUUGACACCUUUCCUAAAUGCUAUCUAUUUCAUCAGACCAUUUAUUUCAGAUUUCAAGGUUUUCAGAAAAGGAGGCACAUCUCAUUUUGUAUUAAAUAUAAUAAGUUCAUAAGUUAUUAUUGGCAAACGUUAUCAGAUUUAGUCACAAUCUGAAUUCUCUUAUUGAACAAGAAAAAUAAGUCAAUGUUUUACUGUCCUCCUCUUAGCAAGAUGAAAAAUUGCUCUUUUCAAUGUAUCACAUUGUAUCCUUUCUCCUUCCAGCAUCUUCCCUUUAUGUGUCUUUGCUCAGGCAACCACUGGCAUAGAGUAUUGAAAAACAUGCAGUGCUUUUGUAUAGGCCAUCUGUACAUAAAAGUGUAAUUAUUUAUUUAAUUUUCCCAUUUGUACCAUAUUAAAGCUUUGUACAGUGUUUUAAGUUCUGUUUUAAAAUUAUUUUGUAUUUUAUUUUUAUAAUCUAGUAAUAAAACAUUCAGUCCGCAUGC
rnacentral:lncRNA from 1 species